ACUCAGGAUGGGGUCAUGGCUGAGACUAUGAGGGCUGCUCGUGCAUGACCCUGCCUGCUGGCCUCCAUGGGCCCACUAUCUGAAUGUGGUUACCCUUCUCCCCAGGACCAGGUGCCACCUCCUCUGGGAAGCUUUCCCUGCCCGUCCACAGGGUAUGCCUCCUUGUUCCUCUCCUGCCAUCGGUUUACGUGCCUGUCUCCAUCAACAGACCAGGAGCUCCUGAGGACAGGGACUGAGUCUGCCUGAUUCAUCUCUGCAUUCCUAGCACUUACCUUGGUGCUUAGUGAAAGCUCGAACCUGCCUGGGUUCCCACCUUGUCUCUGCUACCCCCAGCUCUGUGAACUCAGAGCCAACUACUAAGCCUGUAGCAGCCUCCCAAACUGCCCAGUCUUGUUCAGAUGCACCUCCAGAAACACAGGGGUCCAAAAUGCCCCUUCCCAGACACCCUGAGGAGUAGAACAGUGCCAGCAGGCUCCAGGGAUGAGGGACUAG
rnacentral:lncRNA from 10 species